rnacentral:rRNA from 1 species
GACGAACGCUGGCGGCGUGCUUAACACAUGCAAGUCGAACGGUAAGGCCCUUCGGGGUACACGAGUGGCGAACGGGUGAGUAACACGUGGGUGAUCUGCCCUGCACUUCGGGAUAAGCCUGGGAAACUGGGUCUAAUACCGGAUAGGACUCCGGACUGCAUGGUCUGGGGUGGAAAGCUUUUGCGGUGUGGGAUGGGCCCGCGGCCUAUCAGCGUGUUGGUGGGGUGAUGGCCUACCAAGGCGACGACGGGUAGCCGGCCUGAGAGGGUGACCGGGCACACUGGGACUGAGAUACGGCCCAGACUCCUACGGGAGGCAGCAGUGGGGAAUAUUGCCCAAUGGGCGCAAGCCUGAUGCAGCGACGCCGCGUGAGGGAUGACGGCCUUCGGGUUGUAAACCUCUUUCAGCAUCGACGAAGCGAAAGUGACGGUAGGUGCAGAAGAAGGACCGGCCAACUACGUGCCAGCCGCCGCCGUAA